rnacentral:rRNA from 1 species
ACGGGAGGCAGCCGUGAGGAAUAUUGGACAAUGGGCGCAAGCCUGAUCCAGCCAUGCCGCGUGCAGGAUGACGGGCCUAUGGAUUGUAAACUGCUUUUGUACAGGAAGAAACACUGGUUCGUGAACCAGCUUGACGGUACUGUAAGAAUAAGGAUCGGCUAACUCCGUGCCAGCAGCCGCGGUAAUACGGAGGAUCCAAGCGUUAUCCGGAAUCAUUGGGUUUAAAGGGUCCGUAGGCGGUUUGGUAAGUCAGUGGUGAAAGCCCAUCGCUCAACGGUGGAACGGCCAUUGAUACUGCUAGACUUGAAUUAUUAGGAAGUAACUAGAAUAUGUAGUGUACCGGUGAAAUGCUUAGAGAUUACAUGGAAUACCAAUUGCGAAGGCAGGUUACUACUAAUAUAUUGACGCUGAUGGACGAAAGCGUGGGUAGCGAACAGGAUUAGAUACCCUGGUAGUCCACGCCGUAAACGAUGGAUACUACCUGUUGGGCGCAAGUUCAGUGGCUAAGCGAAAGUGAUAAGUAUCCCACCUGGGGAGUACGUUCGCAAGAAUGAAACUCAAGGAAUUGACAGGGGCCCGCACAAGCGGUGGAGCAUGUGGUUUAAUUCGAUGAUACGCGAGGAACCUUACCAAGGCUUAAAUGU